rnacentral:lncRNA from 1 species
AGACUUCAUUCACAGGCUCCAAGGCUCGGCCUUCUGUGGGAAGCUUUCUAAAUAUGCAAAUUCCUCAGUGUUGGAUUUCUCUUUUCAAGUGUAUUCUCACUGAGAGCCCUUAAGCAGAUCAAGACUUUCCUGUGCAAAGGGCUCCUUAAAAAUGAUAUCUGCAUGUAAAGGAGAAGCUUCUGAAACUGCCAGGAAGCAGAACUUCCAGCUGUCAAGUCAGGCCUGACCACGAAGGGAGGGAGACCAGUUUCUCAGAGCUUCGCAGGUGUGAAACCCUCACUUUUGAUCUUUGUGCCCCACCCUCAUCUAGGCCUGGGCCCCUCUGUUCAGAGUUGCCCUGCACCAGUGCACAUGUUAGUCCUGGAUAACUGGGAACUCAAAACAAGACGGCUGUCACUCACCAGAAGCUCAAACCCAGGGAGGAGGACAAGCCUUGAAAUGAGCCAGCUCUCCACUUUCCAGAAGCCCAGCUCCCUUUACCCCCACAACCAGGAGGUUCGGGCCUCAGUGCCUCCUGGACAGAGCAGAUCCGCCCUGGGGCAACUGUUGGGUCAAAACUGGAACAUUCAUCUUUAACUUACCCAUGUAAUGAUCUCAAGCCUGCCUACCACCACCUGCAUGCUACCUGCUACAUGUGAACUGUCUGUCCCUCAGUCACAGCAUUUUUCCAGUCACAGAAGCUAUUCAUUCAGGCAUUCAUCUAUCAGGUA